rnacentral:rRNA from 1 species
AUUGAACGCUGGCGGCAUGCCUUACACAUGCAAGUCGAACGGUAACGGGCCUUCGGGUGCCGACGAGUGGCGCACGGGUGAGUAAUACAUCGGAACGUGCCCGAUCGUGGGGGAUAACGCGGCGCAAGCUUUGCUAAUACCGCAUACGAUCUACGGAUGACAGCAGGGGACCGCAAGGCCUUGCGCGGACGGAGCGGCCGAUGGCAGAUUAGGUAGUUGGUGGGAUAAAAGCUUACCAAGCCGACGAUCUGUAGCUGGUCUGAGAGGAUGAUCAGCCACACUGGGACUGAGACACGGCCCAGACUCCUACGGGAGGCAGCAGUGGGGAAUUUUGGACAAUGGGCGCAAGCCUGAUCCAGCCAUGCCGCGUGGAGGAUGAAGGCCUUCGGGUUGUAAACUGCUUUUGUACGGAACGAAAAGCCUUCUUUUAAUACAGGAGGGUCAUGACGGUACCGUAAGAAUAAGCACCGGCUAACUACGUG